CCUACGAGUGGCAGCAGUGAGGAAUAUUGGUCAAUGGGCGCGAGCCUGAACCAGCCAAGUAGCGUGAAGGAUGAAUGCCCUACGGGUUGUAAACUUCUUUUAUAAAGGAAUAAAGUGAGGCACGAGUGCCUUUUUGAGUGGACUUUAUGAAUAAGGAUCGGCUAACUCCGUGACAGCAGCCGCGGUAAUACGGAGGAUCCGAGCGUUAUCCGGAUUUAUUUGGUUUAAAGGGAGCGUAGAUGGGUUGUUAAGUCCGUGGUUAAAGUUUGCGGCUCAACCGUAAAAUUGCAAUUGAUACUGGCAGUCUUGAGUACAGUUGAGGUAGGCGGAAUUCGUGGUGUAGCGGUGAAAUGCUUAGAUAUCACGAAGAACUCCGAUUGCGAAGGCAGCUUACCAAACUGCCACUGACAUUGAUGCUCGAAAGUGUGGGUAUCAAACAGGAUUAGAUACCCUUGUAGUC
rnacentral:rRNA from 1 species